UGUGACACAGCCCAGCAGUCUCAGUGCCCAGAAGGGUUUGACCUGCCACCAGUUAUCUUGUUUUCUAUGGAUGGAUUUAGAGCUGAAUAUUUAUACACAUGGGAUACUUUAAUGCCAAAUAUCAAUAAACUGAAAACAUGUGGAAUUCAUUCAAAAUACAUGAGAGCUAUGUAUCCUACCAAAACCUUCCCAAAUCAUUACACCAUUGUCACGGGCUUGUAUCCAGAGUCACAUGGCAUCAUUGACAAUAAUAUGUAUGAUGUAAAUCUCAACAAGAAUUUUUCACUUUCUUCAAAGGAACAAAAUAAUCCAGCCUGGUGGCAUGGGCAACCAAUGUGGCUGACAGCAAUGUAUCAAGGUUUAAAAGCCGCUACCUACUUUUGGCCCGGAUCAGAAGUGGCUAUAAAUGGCUCCUUUCCUUCCAUAUACAUGCCUUACAACGGGUAGUGAAGCACUUUCAGAUAUUCUCCCAGCUAGGCAGAAAUGAUCAAGAUGUUUUCUGUCUUAAUCUUGGUGGCAAUUCUAUUAAUCCAGUUGUUUAAGCCAAAAAUCUUGGGAAUCACCAUUGAUUCCUUUCCUUUAUGUCACUCAAGCAGUCUCUCAGUAAAUGCUUUUGGCUGUAAUUAAAAAUC
rnacentral:lncRNA from 10 species